CUAAGAAUAUUCCGCAAUGGACGGAAGUCUGACGGAGCGACGCCGCGUGGAUGAAGAAGGCCGAAAGGUUGUAAAGUUCUUUUGCUGGGGAAGAAUAACCGCAGGAGGGAAUGCCUGUGGGAUGACAAGAACCGGCGAAUAAGCCCCGGCCAACUACGUGCCAGCAGCCGCGGUAACACGUAGGGGGCGAGCGUUGUUCGGAAUUACUGGGCGUAAAGGGCAUGUAGGCGGCUUGGAAAGCCUGGCCGUGAAAGUCUGCAGCUUAACUGCAGGGGUGCGCUGGGAACUGCUGAGCUUGAGUGACGGAGAGGAGCUGGAAUUCCUGGUGUAGGGGUGAAAUCUGUAGAUAUCAGGAAGAACACCGAUGGCGAGGGCAAGCUCCUGGCCGAUGACUGACGCUGAGGUGCGAAAGUGUGGGGAUCAAAACAGGAUUAGAUACCCUGGUAGUCCACACAGUCAACGAUGUGCACUAGGUGCUGGGGCGGUAGCUUCGGUGCCGGAGCGAAACGUGGUGAAGUGCACCGCCUGGGGAGUAUGCUCGCAAGGGUG
rnacentral:rRNA from 1 species